rnacentral:tRNA from 1 species
ACUUAGUUAGCUUAAAAAAAGCCUGGAACUCUUAAUUCCAUGACAAGGGAGAAUAACCCUUACUCAGUAC